AUUCGACUCAACACAAUCACACAGUGAACAACACUAUCACAUAAAAUUCAGAAAGUGAUUUUUACGUGAAUAAAUUCGUGUCAUAAGAUUUCGAAUACUUGUCGCCAUCUGUUAUCAAGUAGCAGACAUGAUUAGUUUAAUAUACUUAUACGUUGCCGUGGCGGCGCUAGUGUCGCUGCAGUGCGGACUUGAUGCCGCGCAUAUUGACAAUUCCAAACUCGACAACAGUUUACAACCCAAUGUGAUCCCAAACCCAGCUCCCAAACGGCGUUUGUUGAGGAAAUUCGUUCACAUAUCAGAACCAUUGCCUGAGACCAUCCGACACGUUCCCGGCAUGACGCUCGAGAUCGAAUGCCCAGUCAUGGGCAAGCCGGCGCCC